UUAAUACUCCCUCCGUCUCAAAAAAUUUGUCUUAGAUUUGCCUAAAUAUGAAUGUAUCUAGUCACGUUUGAAUGUUAGAUACAUCUGUAUCUAAAUAAAUCUUGAAAAAGAAUUUUGGAACGGAGGUAGUACUCA
rnacentral:pre_miRNA from 2 species